CCUCCUGCCCGCUGCCGGUAGUUCCUCCUUUCAUUGCGGUCUUUACUAGGGAAUGAUCCCCGCAGGGGCACGGCCGGCGGGGCGGUGACUGGUUUUCACGGCGAAUCACGACAGGCCCUUGAAGGGCGGGAGGAGGGGCUGGCAUUCAGUGGAAUGGAUGUAAUGCACAUCUGACUCUGAACUUCUGCUUCUGGAUCUACGGAAGGCCUUUCAUUCAUGCUGAUCUCCAGUUAUAAAAGAAACAAGAAUUUGUUAUGGCUCAAGCUUGGCUUCAGCAAAAUUCCAGCCCUUCAAAUGCAUUCAGUUAACGUGCUGAAUAUUGACUCACUGCUUACUCACGUGACCGACAUUGAAAUUACACUUUCUCAUUUUUGUAGCAUAUCAUAAAUAAUGGUUUAAUCCUCACAGCCUGAUGAAGUCAGUUGGCAUCAUUUUUCCUUGCUAAUGGAAGAAAAGUUUGUAGGAUAAAGUAAGAUAUUUUAUUAGAUGUCAUUAUUGCUUUCAGCUUUAUUUCAAGGAAGUGCUCCUGUAAAUUUGAGCUGAGCUAAGUAAUGAAAACAUACCAAAAGUAAUGGAGGAACUGAUUGCAAUCCCAGGUGGCUAAGAAAGAAGAGAGUGCUAUAACAUUGAGUCACCUGUGCUUUAUAGUCCAGCUGUUCUGAAGGAAGUUUGAAGGGAAUUUGACUUUGCCAAUAUUUAAGGGUGACACUUGGACACAACAGCUCAGCAUAACUGACGGGGUACUGGUCCUAAAAUUAGUCUGUGCCAACUUCACUUACAGCAUCUCUCUUGAGACUGCUUAAAGGACAAGAUUGUAUGUUCCAGCUUAGUGGAGGAAUGGAAGUGCACCUUUUCCAUGAGCUAUUCAGCCUGGAAGUCCCAGUUUCCAAAUGUUUUUCCUGCAUUGUCACUUCAAGAAAAGUUGCAGGGAGGAGCACAUCAAACUUGGCUAACAGAGAACAAGAAAAGCAGUGAGUGAGUCUUUCCUUAUGAGGCACCAGGAGGCAUAAGGGAAGGACAGAAAGAACAACACCCUCUGCCUUUAGGAGGGAUGGAGCUCUGUGAUGGCACACGUGUGGAGUGGGAGAGCCAUGGAGACCAUCGCCUUUUGUAAGUGUUUCUAUGAAGCAGCAUUA